rnacentral:rRNA from 1 species
UACAGAGGUCUCAAGCGUUGUUCGGAUUCAUUGGGCGUAAAGGGUGCGUAGGCGGCGAGGCAAGUCAGGUGUGAAAUCUCGGGGCUCAACUCCGAAACUGCACUUGAUACUGCCUUGCUAGAGUACUGGAGAGGAGAUUGGAAUUUACGGUGUAGCAGUGAAAUGCGUAGAUAUCGUAAGGAAGACCAGUGGCGAAGGCGAAUCUCUGGACAGUUACUGACGCUGAGGCACGAAGGCCAGGGGGGCAAACGGG